rnacentral:rRNA from 1 species
AAUAGAUACCCGGGUAGUCCACGCCGUAAACGGUGGGCACUAGGUGUGGGCGACAUUCCACGUCGUCCGUGCCGCAGCUAACGCAUUAAGUGCCCCGCCUGGGGAGUACGGCCGCAAGGCUAAAACUCAAAGGAAUUGACGGGGGGCCCGCACAAGCGGCGGAGCAUGUGGCUUAAUUCGACGCAACGCGAAGAACCUUACCAAGGCUUGACAUACACCGGAAACGUCCAGAGAUGGGCGCCCCCUUGUGGUCGGUGUACAGGUGGUGCAUGGCUGUCGUCAGCUCGUGUCGUGAGAUGUUGGGUUAAGUCCCGCAACGAGCGCAACCCUUGUCCCGUGUUGCCAGCAGGCCCUUGUGGUGCUGGGGACUCACGGGAGACCGCCGGGGUCAACUCGGAGGAAGGUGGGGACGACGUCAAGUCAUCAUGCCCCUUAUGUCUUGGGCUGCACACGUGCUACAAUGGCCGGUACAAUGAGCUGCGAUACCGCGAGGUGGAGCGAAUCUCAAAAAGCCGGUCUCAGUUCGGAUUGGGGUCUGCAAC